rnacentral:misc_RNA from 1 species
AAUAAUAAUAAUAAUAAUCAUAAUGCCAAAAUGAUUGAAAGGUAGGUUUGACUUUGGAGGCAGGAUGCGUUGUUGGAAUAGUGGUUAAUCAUUUGAUAAGCCACCAUGCUCUGGAAAUUGGUCUGCUAAUAAAAAAAAAAAAAAAUAACAUAAGUUUAAUAUGGCCUGCUAAACAAAGAUCAUGUGAUUGCAGAAAUUGAGCUUGUAAUCCAAUGGUAAAUCCUUGCUAAAAAAUAUAAAUUGUGUAGUGUAGUAGAGAAUAUCUUGAUUUUAG